AGCGAACGCUGGCGGCAGGCCUAACACAUGCAAGUCGAACGAACCUUUCGGGGUUAGUGGCGGACGGGUGAGUAACACGUGGGAACGUGCCUUUAGGUUCGGAAUAACUCAGGGAAACUUGUGCUAAUACCGAAUGUGCCCUUCGGGGGAAAGAUUAAUCGCCUUUAGAGCGGCCCGCGUCUGAUUAGCUAGUUGGUUGAGGUAAUGGCUCACCAAGGCGACGAUCAGUAGCUGGUCUGAGAGGAUGAUCAGCCACAUUGGGACUGAGACACGGCCCAAACUCCUACGGGAGGCAGCAGUGGGGAAUCUUGCGCAAUGGGCGAAAGCCUGACGCAGCCAUGCCGCGUGAAUGGUGAAGGUCUUAGGAUUGUAAAAUUCUUUCACCGGGGACGAUAAUGACGGUACCCGGAGAAGAAGCCCCGGCUAACUUCGUG
rnacentral:rRNA from 1 species